rnacentral:lncRNA from 1 species
GCAACUAGUAAGCAUCGCAACUCUUUGUACCUUCAUCAUCAAUAAAGUCAUCCCUUUCAGUGGGAAGUCUGAUCGUAAGACUCGAUCGAACUGAGAUCCAUCAUUGGAAUAGCAUCGAAGAUCACAACCGAAGGGUCAACCCUUCGAAGACCUCACACAACCAUGUACCGCUCCCUACUCAUGGACAAAACAAGCAGGGUGGUC